UGGCUCAGGAUGAACGCUGGCGGCGUGCCUAACACAUGCAAGUCGAGCGAAGCGCUUUACUUGAAUUCUUCGGAAGGAAAGUAUUGUGACUGAGCGGCGAACGGGUGAGUAACACGUAGGUAACCUGCCCAUGUGUCCGGGAUAACUGCUGGAAACGGUAGCUAAAACCGGAUAGGUAUACGGAGCGCAUGCUCUGUAUAUUAAAGCGCCCAUCAAGGCGUGAACAUGGAUGGACCUGCGGCGCAUUAGCUAGUUGGUGAGGUAACGGCCCACCAAGGCGAUGAUGCGUAGCCGGCCUGAGAGGGUAAACGGCCACAUUGGGACUGAGACACGGCCCAAACUCCUACGGGAGGCAGCAGUAGGGAAUUUUCGUCAAUGGGGGAAACCCUGAACGAGCAAUGCCGCGUGAGUGAAGAAGGUCUUCGGAUCGUAAAGCUCUGUUGUAAGUGAAGAACGGCUCAUAGAGGAAAUGCUAUGGGAGUGACGGUAGCUUACCAGAAAGCCACGGCUAACUACGUGCCAGCAGCCGCGGUAAUACGUAGGUGGCAAGCGUUAUCCGGAAUCAUUGGGCGUAAAGGGUGCGUAGGUGGCGUACUAAGUCUGUAGUAAAAGGCAAUGGCUCAACCAUUGUAAGCUAUGGAAACUGGUAUGCUGGAGUGCAGAAGAGGGCGAUGGAAUUCCAUGUGUAGCGGUAAAAUGCGUAGAUAUAUGGAGGAACACCAGUGGCGAAGGCGGUCGCCUGGUCUGUAACUGACACUGAGGCACGAAAGCGUGGGGAGCAAAUAGGAUUAGAUACCCUAGUAGUC
rnacentral:rRNA from 1 species